UUUCUUCCUUGUUUUCAUCGUUCUUACCAAACAAACCCUUUGAAUGUUCAUCUGCUUUUUCCAGUUUAACACCCCCCACCCCCCGCAAGUUGGAGGGGUUCGUAGAAAUCCCCAACUUGGAGAGUAUUAUGUGAUGAGAAGGUCCAUUCAAAGCUUUGGUAAAUAAACCAGCCAACUGCGAAGCUGCCGGAACAUACGAGAGUGAAAUGAGUCCGGCAACAAAUUGUUGUCGGACAAAAUGACAAUCUGAUUCCACGUGUUUAGUACGUUCAUGGAACACUGGAUUCUUUGCUAUAUGAAUAGCGGAUUGACUAUCUGAGUGAAUCGGAAUUGGGAGAUCCGGUGGAUAACCUAAGUCUGUCAAAAGAUGAUGCAACCAGGUGAUCUCAGCAACGACGUGCCUCAUAGACCGAUAUUCAGCUUCGGCUGAUGAUAAAGAAACAGAGGUUUGCUUCUUCGAUUUCUAUGAAAUCGGUGAACCACCAAGAGUGACAUAGAAUCCGCUAAAGAUCGACGUGAGUCAAUACACGAUCCCCAAUCCGCAUCACAGAAAGCAACCAGCUGCAAGGGAAUAUCAGUGCGAAAAAAUAAACCUUGCCCGGGGUUAGAUCUGAUAUACGGAAGAACUCUGAUUGCUGCAGAAUAAUGAGGGAGUCUGGGGCUUUGCAUGUACUGAGAAAGAUGUUGCACAACAUAUGAGAUAUUUGGUCGACUGUGAGUGAGGAUCCAUUGGAGAUGAUACAAGAGAUAGAUGAAAGCAGUCAAAUUCAGUAAGAAGAUCGAGGGCAUACUUGUGUUGAGUGACAAUUACCCCAUGAGGUUCCUUGAGAACUUCCAAUCCUAAGAAGUGGUACAAUUUAGCUCCAUUGAGCUGACCAAACCUGUCUUCAAGAUCAUUCCAUAGAGCUUCAACAGUUUGUGAAUAAAUAAUAGACUUAGCAAUUUCGUUAGAAAGAGAAUUAAGCAACCAAGAUGUGACCUGACCUUGUCAUUGCAUCUAUUCCAUAGUUUAUAGUCUGGAGAUGCAUAAUCUGGUUGUUUAGAGAUGUCAUCAAUAAAACUAGUCUUAUUUUUAGCUGAAAGGGCAAUCAACACAGACCUUUUCCAGCCUGCAUACCCUCUUCCCUCAAAUAUGGAAUUCACAAGAGAACUUUCAGGAGAAUCAGAGGGGUGAAGAUAAAGAGAAUCACUGGAAUCCAUGGAAGAGGAUCCAGUAUUUCUAGUGAUGGCAGUAGCUGACUGAGUUCCCAUUAAAUUAGGAGUUUCGUUCCUGUGAUACCAUAAAAGACAGUAAAAUAAAUCAGACAGAAAAUUAAAAUUGCGAAAAUUAAAUUGAAAACAAGAUUGGGCAAUUUUUUGUGUUUUUAUUGCCUUCACUGUUCAUCUAUUUAUACACAAACUAGAAUUGUUGAUCAAGAAAUAUCUUGUACAUCUGUCCCUAUUCUAUUUGUUUUUCAUGUAAUUAACUUUUCUAUAGCCUUUGAUAUAUUUACAAGUGUACUCUAGUAAAUAAUGAAUGGUUGAGAUCAAUUUCUUCAA